rnacentral:rRNA from 1 species
UACGUAGGGUGCGAGCGUUAAUCGGAAUUACUGGGCGUAAAGCGUGCGCAGGCGGUUCGUUGUGUCGGCGGUGAAAGCCCCGGGCUUAACCUGGGAAUGGCCGUUGAAACUGGCGAACUGGAGUGUGUCAGAGGAUGGUGGAAUUCCCGGUGUAGCGGUGAAAUGCGUAGAGAUCGGGAGGAACAUCAGUGGCGAAGGCGGCCAUCUGGGACAACACUGACGCUGAAGCACGAAAGCGUGGGGAGCAAACAGG